CAGUCGCCACGGUAAUACGUAGGUGGCAAGCGUUGUCCGGAAUUAUUGGGCGUAAAGGGCUCGCAGGCGGUUUCUUAAGUCUGAUGUGAAAGCCCCCGGCUCAACCGGGGAGGGUCAUUGGAAACUGGGAAACUUGAGUGCAGAAGAGGAGAGUGGAAUUCCACGUGUAGCGGUGAAAUGCGUAGAGAUGUGGAGGAACACCAGUGGCGAAGGCGACUCCCUGGUCUGUAACUGACGCUGAGGAGCGAAAGCGUGGGGAGCGAACAGGAUUAGAUACCCCUGUAGUCCCUGUCUCUUAUAC
rnacentral:rRNA from 1 species